rnacentral:rRNA from 1 species
UACGAAGGGGGCUAGCGUUGCUCGGAAUCACUGGGCGUAAAGCGCACGUAGGCGGCUUACUAAGUCAGGGGUGAAAUCCUGGAGCUCAACUCCAGAACUGCCUUUGAUACUGGUGAGCUUGAGUCCGGAAGAGGUGAGUGGAACUGCGAGUGUUAGAGGUGAAAUUCGUAGAUAUUCGCAAGAACACCAGUGGCGAAGGCGGCUCACUGGUCCGGUACUGACGCUGAGGUGCGAAAGCGUGGGGAGCAAACAGGG